UGCGAAGGGGGGCUAGCGUUGCUCGGAAUCACUGGGCGUAAAGGGUGCGUAGGCGGGUUUUUAAGUCAGGGGUGAAAUCCUGGAGCUCAACUCCAGAACUGCCUUUGAUACUGAAGAUCUUGAGUUCGGGAGAGGUGAGUGGAACUGCGAGUGUAGAGGUGAAAUUCGUAGAUAUUCGCAAGAACACCAGUGGCGAAGGCGGCUCACUGGCCCGAUACUGACGCUGAGGCACGAAAGCGUGGGGAGCAAACAGGG
rnacentral:rRNA from 1 species